AAAACAGAAUUUCAGCAAGAGAUUGAUAGAGGCAUCCAGCACCUUUCUGAAAGAAAUCUGCAGCGCCUCCUGCGAGCAGAUCCGGUUUCGACCUUAUGAAGUGGCAGAGUGUAGGGACUGCCACCUGCUCAAAGCACCCUGCAACGAUUCCUUAUUAUGUGCAGGGCCCAACGUUCUUGCGGGUGUGCUGGUGACCCUUGUGAUCCUGCUUGCUGCUGGUGUUGGAGUGUGGUA